rnacentral:rRNA from 1 species
CCUACGGGAGGCAGCAGCUAAGAAUCUUCCGCAAUGGGCGAAAGCCUGACGGAGCGACACUGCGUGAAUGAAGAAGGUCGAAAGAUUGUAAAAUUCUUUUAUAAAUGAGGAAUAAGCUUUGUAGGAAAUGACAAAGUGAUGACGUUAAUUUAUGAAUAAGCCCCGGCUAAUACGUGCCAGCAGCCGCGGUAAUACGUAAGGGGCGAGCGUUGUUCGGGAUUAUUGGGCGUAAAGGGUGAGUAGGCGGAUAUAUAAGUCUAUGCAUAAAAUACCACAGCUCAACUGUGGACCUAUGUUGGAAACUAUAUGUCUAGAGUCUGAUAGAGGAAGUUAGAAUUUCUGGUGUAAGGGUGGAAUCUGUUGAUAUCAGAAAGAAUACCGGAGGCGAAGGCGAACUUCUGGGUCAAGACUGACGCUGAGUCACGAAAGCGUAGGGAGCAAACAGGAUUAGAUACCCUGGUAGUCUACGCUGUAAACGAUGCACACUUGGUGUUAACUAAAAGUUAGUACCGAAGCUAACGUGUUAAGUGUGCCGCCUGGGGAGUAUGCUCGCAAGAGUGAAACUCAAAUGAAUUGACGG